UCCUCCAGAACAACAGCAUAAUUGAUCCAAAAAAACAACAGAAGGAAAGGAGGAGCAGAUUGCCCACGCAGCCAUUCAUGUCCAGCACAUUACUGCAGGUCCCGAGUUCAAAGUGGGUCAAGGAUGAAAUAUCAGAAUCACCGAGGCUACGAGAUCAAAGGUAAAACCAGCGGCAAGUGAAAUCGGUGAGCCGAUCAGGGAGGCUGGAGUUUAUUUUGGCAGCGUACCUCUGCAUCCCAGCAGCGCUGAGGGUGAGAAGCCAAGCACUCAGCUGUGAGGGGAGCCCAGCCUGGCCUUUUGGACACUGGAGGCAGGUGGAUAGCGGGUCAGGAUAGAAGAGAAAGCAGCAUGGAUCCUGCCAGUCACACAGGGCCCAGAAGACUGAGUGGCCAGGCCCUGCAGGACCAACUGGCAGAUGGCUGCCUCAGGAUAAUGACCAGGUGACAUCUGCAGAGUGAACAAGCCAUCAGGCUAACAGACUCACCUUGACCCACCAGGGAAGCCAAGCUGCCCAUUCUCAACCUCCUCCUCCUGCAAUUCCCUCAGGUCACACCCACAAACCGAGAAGUGUAACAGAAGUUUAUUGAUUUACUAAGUUUCUCAACUCCCCCAAAAAAGAGGUGUGAGAAAGUCUUGAAAAAACAUUAACAGAUUUUAUGUGGGUGUUUGAAUUGAGUUUUCUUUUAUUCACUGGAGAUUCAGUUGCUGCCUCUUUCAGUGCUGAAGAACUUUGGAGUAAAUUUGUCUCCUCUUCUUUUUCAUUUGUGGUUUUUCUGUGAUUCUUAGCAAAACUCCUCGAGACAUUAAAAUAUUAUCAGACAGACCAGACUCGGAAUAACUUCUGGAAUAUGGUCGAGCUAUACAAAAUAAAAAUUGCUGCUUUUUUUUGUUAUUUUGCUCACAGUGUUACUAUUGACAUGUGAUUUUGAAAAGGCAAGGUUUGUGCUGUGUCUAAAGACUCUAACUCGUACACAUUGACUACGUGAUGCUGUGCACAAAGGUCAUCUUUUGACAGCGCUGAGAUCAGGAAAAGGUCAGACUCCUUGUGCCAUUUGGGAAAGAGGCAGUGUGAGACCAAGCUGCCAAUAUAAUUUCAGCAUGUCUUUUUCAUCUGAGUGUUAACACCAUACAUUGUUUACUAAAUAGUUUACUGUGGCUGUAUGACUGCUGGCAAACUGAUGUUAGGGAUGAAGUUAGGAAAACUUUGGAGGCUGAAAGAAGUGCAGUGUUGAAUGAGAAUGAAUUGAAAAGAGCCUUGCAGCUGCAACGCUUGUGCACACUAAGUGAAAUUGAAAUAUGCCGUUUCUGUGUUUUGUGUUCGAGUGUACAGAAAGUAAGUAAGUUAGAAAGUAAGUAA